CCUGUAUGAUGAAAUGCAAACAGACUGACUCAGCCAUGGAGGUCUGUAAUUAGCUCUAUCUGAUU
rnacentral:snoRNA from 1 species